AAAGUGUGGGUCUUUCUGACCCACUCGUAUUACAAAUUUACCAUAGAAGUGUUGUGCAAAAAGCAAGAGGAUUGCAGGUCACGGGAGGCGAUUCCGAACCAGCUAAAGCAGCUGAGGGGCUUUCUUCAUGAUCUAAGAGGGCGCCCACGUGAGCCAGCCCGAGUAAGUCCCUAACCCACCUUCAAUUCCUCUCUCAUCAAUUGGAAUACAUGCCCUUGCUCACGAGCAAGGUUAUGAGAGAGCGAUCUCAAAUCCCAGGUUUGCCAAAAACCUGAGAUACGUGUCUUCUGAUCAUCUAGAUUUGGACGUCGAGAUCGAGACACCGAACCAGCUUGACGACUCCACUGGGGACUUGCUACCCCUUAGUCUGCUCGCUCUUGUUUGACCAGCAUCCUCUUUACCUUCUACAUUAAUUUCUAUGGCACCUGGGUUGUUC
rnacentral:lncRNA from 1 species